AAAGAAGAUACUAACCACGUCGACAGGAUGUUGGCAGGAAAAGGAACAAACCCUAACGGAUUAGGUAUCUUCAGGAUGAAGAUUUGAUAACUUAGGAUUAGUUAUCAGCAAGGAAGUGAAGCUCUAGGAUAGAGUUCGCCCGUCAGGAUGACAGGCUAGAAUGGACACCGCUAGGAUGGCGACGACAUGGAACUAGGUUAACGGAUUUUAACCACUAUCAAGGAAAGAUGCAGGGAGCACUUUUAGUAGCCGGAUUGCUGCGAAAGAGAAUAGGCCCCAGCUGAUGCAAAUCAGUUGGGGCUUUAUUUUAA
rfam:Vibrio sp. JCM 19231 DNA, contig00001.